UUAAGUUCAGCGGGUAUCCCUACCUGAUCCGAGGUCAAACUUGUGUUCGGUGCGUGACCGAUGCGAACGCGUAAGGCAGUCGUGCAAGCUUCGCGCCAGUAAGUCGUUACGGCGGCUGCUACAGCACUCCCAUUUACUAAUCAAUAGCCAACGCAUUUGAGGUCCGGGAUGGUCCCUAGACCCAAUACCAAGCCAGGCUU
rnacentral:misc_RNA from 1 species